UGCCCUGUAGCUCAGUGGCAGAGCCGUCGCCUGUUAAGCGAAUGGUCGUAGGUUCAAUCCCUACCAGGGCAGCCA
rnacentral:tRNA from 7 species